CGAGUAUGGACCCUGAUAUGGUCUGGCUCUGUGUCCUCACCCAGAUCUCAUCUUGAGUUGUAACUGAAUUGUAAUCCUCAUGUGUUGGUUGGCAGAGGGACCUCGUGGAGGUGAUGAGAUCAUGGGGGCGGUUCCCCCAUGCUGUUCUCAAGACAGUGAAUGAGUCUCAUGUGAUCUGAUGGUCUCAUAAGGGCUUUUCCCCCUUUUGCUCUGUGCUCAUUCUUUCUCCUGUCACCCUGUGAGGAGGUGCCUUCCGCCAUGAUUGUAAGUUUCCUGGGGCUUUCCCAACCAGGCGGAACGCCAGCCCACUCGCCUGCCUGGAGGGUUUGAAGUAUUCUCUAGGCUCAGGGGGAGAGCUCCUUCUGGCUAGUCUUAGAUCACGGGAGCUGAUAGAACGCCAGAAUGAUCCAGCCCAGCCCCCUCAUAUAGCAGAUGGGAAACAGUUUCUGGUUGCCUUCGAAACCUCCUGCCUGUGCCUUUAGAGCAGACCUCUUCAUCUUCCUGAGGUAUGUUUGAACUCCAUGAGACACCCUCCUACAACUUCAGUUCACCUGCUGGAUGAUGGCUCUGUGGGCUGGGGGCUUUCUCACGGAGCAGUCACUGCCAUUUACUGUUCCUUGGUGCCAGGUGGGGGCUUGGGCCCCUCCUCUCUGCAUCCUCCACCAUCACCCUCCAAGGGCCAUGAGGGAUCUUGGGCUUGGGCCUGGCCCCAUCUUGGGUGGGACUUGGUGGGCGCCCUAUUCUAAGCCAGCUGCAGGUGCACCUACUAUGGUCAGUCACUGGCCAAGGGCUAAGGAGACAGUUCCCACCCUCGUGGGCUCAUGGUCCAGUGGGGUCAUGGCAUUGGCCCAAUGACCCCAAAGGUGGUGAAGUUGGGGAAGCUGGGACUCCCUCCAGAGCUCAAGAACCACAGCAGGUGCCCAGGGAUUUGAGGCAGGCCCUUGUGGUUUCAAGCUCAGCAGUCUUCUUGUGUGGGGGACGUCACAGACCUGCUCAGUGCCCCCAGAGGGGAGGGCUAGGAACUCGCUGUAGAGUAGUGGGAGGUUGAGGUUGACUGUAUGCCAGGGAGGGGGUGAGCCCUACCCCCUAAAGUAGGCAAGUAACAACUGAAAGACUGUCUCAGGCAGGUGGGCACUUGGCCUGAGUGUCCCCUGCUCCUCUUCAAGGUGCGUGUGGGGACCCCAGAGCACAGGGUGAGCUCAGGCCCCUGCUGUGCCCCGGGGACGCUCAGCCACAGAGCACACUGGCUGCAGCUCCGCAUGGGCCCUGCCAGGCUGCACGAGAACCUCUUGACGCAGCGAUUCCCAGGCCAAACCCAGCCACGUUUGUGUUGCGGCUCCACACAGACGGGCCACGACCCUUGUUGUCAGCAAACUCUCUGAGGGUAAGGAGCUGCCACCCGAGGUUCACCUCCAUAGCUGUGCUUCUCCUUCUGCCACACCCAGGAGAGUGGAUUUGCUGUGAGCAGGGGCUGGCCGCUCAUGCUGUUAGGCAGAACAGCUGUGGACUGGUCCCUGUGUCCCCGCCACAUGCCCUGGACAUGAGGUUUGGCUCAUCUCAAGGGUGGACCUACGUCACAGGGCCCGGCUGGCCGACAUGAGGCUGAGUGCCAGCUCCUACUUGCCCCUCCACGUUGACCUGCCCAGUGGGGCCCCUGGGCAGGGAGACCCCGGCCCCAGGCUGACUCUGACACUCCCCGCAAUGUUGGAGCCGCUGGGCGGGCAGACCCCGUCCCCAGGCUGACUCUGACAGCUCCCUGCAAUGUGCCCGUGUCAUGCGGAUUUGGCCUCAGGUAGGUCUCGUCAGGGACACUCUAUCUUCAAAAAAUGCAGCCCACACAGUGGCUGAUUCCAAGGGUCUCAGAGACUCUCCAGAUAGUGCUGAAUGAGGGGGCCAGGGCCCCAGGGUGGCCCAGGGUCCUGUGGGGAGACUCCCUGACCCCAAGAGACUCCCAGUGUGUGGCGUUGUCUGCCCAGCCAGCCUCCCCUACUGCCCAGGUAUAGAGCUGGGCUCCAGCCCGGCCAGUAGGUGCGCUCUAGGGCCCCAGAGGCCACUGGGCCUUGUGCCUGCCCGGGCUCAGACCCUGUGGUUCAGCCAGGAGGAGCAGCCACCUGGGAGCCUUGGGCCCAGAAAUAGGUGGGACAGGCCAGGAUGGCAGGUGGACUUGAAAUUCCACGGCAAGCACGACCGGAAGGAAUACAUCGGGGGCGAUUACACGGUCCUUCUUCCUCCUACCCCAUCAAUACAUUUUUUUUUUCUUUUAAAAAAAGAAAUGUAGUUUCUCUGAAAAUUUAUCCAUGCUGAUUUUUAAAAGUUGGCAGAGGCGUCGUUCUGGCUGUGGAUCGGGGCUUCUGGAACAAGCAGGCCCAGGAGUCUCUGAGGCUUCCCCGGCAGAUUCCCU
rnacentral:lncRNA from 10 species